GGAGUCUGGUCCGUGUCUCAGUACCAGUGUGGGGGACCUUCCUCUCAGAACCCCUAAGGAUCGAUGGCACGGUGGGCCGUUACCCCGCCGUCUACCUAAUCCCACGCAUCCCCAUCCAUGACCGAUGAAUCUUUACUGCAAUUCUGAUGCCAUCGUCGCAGAACAUCAGGUAUUAGGCUCCCUUUCGGAAGGUUAUCCCUGAGUCAUGGGCAGGUUGGAUACGCGUUACUCACCCGUGCGCCGGUCGUCAUCAGCAGGAGCAAGCUCCCGCCAUGUUACCCCUCGACUUGCAUGUGUUAAGCCUGUAGCUAGCGUUCAUC
rnacentral:rRNA from 1 species